AAAAUAAAACGAAAGUAGCAGAAUUGCACGGGAAUAGAAAGCAUGGCGGAGCUACUUACACGUAAAGACAAGAAACAAAUAUCACAGUGGAUUGGCAGGGACAGUCAGUUUGAGCUUCUGUACAAAAUAAGUCGUGACGGGCAGUCUUGCAAGAGGUUCCAUGAGUUGUGUGACAACAUCGGACCAACGGUGACCAUCUUCUACAACAAGGAUAACAACGUGUACGGGGGGUACCUGUCAGACAGCUGGGAGAGUACUGGGGGCUGGUGUACAGACUUAACUGCGUUUCUGUUCAAACUGCAUUCUGCUGGCAACUGGAAACCAGUGAUGUUUCCUUAUACAAGUGGAGAAACUCAUUUUAAAGCAGACGCUUAUGGACCAUGGUUUCAGUCGUUGCCUUCAUUUUGUUCGGGUUUUUGUAAAAAUAAAUCAGCACACGGCAGUUACGUGUUAUAUACUUCUUCCUAUUUUGAGGGAGAAAGUUUUGACAUGAAAGGAGAGACUGUCGAUUCUGUGGCAAACGGUCACAACAACGUCACUGAUCUAGAGGUCUACCUGGUCAGAGAUGAUGAACUCGAAUCUCCAUGGAGGGACUCACAAGACUGGUGUUCACAGACUUUUCAAGAAUUAAAAGAAUUUGUUGCAAAUUAUGAGCCCCUCGAGGAGAUGAAGAUUCCUGAGGUCAACAUCCUACUGAUAGGACAGGUCGGCGCCGGGAAAUCUAGCUUCCUAAACACCAUCAACUCAAUCUUCAAGGGCGGAAUAUCCUCCCGCGCAUGCACCGGAAACAACCUCACUAAAAGUUUUGAAAAAUUCCGCGUCCGUGACCCUUCGACCAAGAAAUACCUCUGUUUUCGGAUUUGUGACACACGGGGCGUGGAGGAAGGGCUGUCCAUCAAAAAUGAAGACCUGGGCUUUAUUCUGGACGGAAAUCUCCCAAAUCAUUACACGUUUAACCCUGUAGAGAAAGCAUCAACAAAAGCCCCGGGCUUCGUCAAAGAGCCCACGGUAAAGGACAGGAUGCACGUGGUGGUGUUUGUACUUGACGGAAGUACCCUGGAUGUUCUGUCUGAGGGGGUCGUCUCAAAACUCAAGGAUUUCAAAAGUCUGGUAGUGGAUAGGGGUGUACCCCGGCUUUUCUAACAAAGAUGGACAAGAUUUGUGAAACAGUAAACAAAGACGUCAGCAAAAUGUUCACGAGCAGUGUCGUAGAAGAUGCCGUCAAUAAAGCCGCUGAUAUUAACGCUAUCCCAAGAUCACAUGUACUUCCGGUCAAAAAUUAUGAGAAGGAAUCUCAACUGAAGACGGAUAUAAACAUCCUUGCCCUGACAGCUCUACGACAGGCGCUCAUGUUUGCAGACGACUUUCUGGAGAACCAGUAUGAACUGGAACAAGAAAACUCGCAGACGCUAAACACGCGGGACUGAGGAUGGUUCUGGUGCUACCUGGUUCAGAGGAAUCGCCUAUAACUAAAUGAAUUUUCUUAAGAGUAAUUCCCGCCUGUUCUCAUUUUGGAGAUCAAACAUUAUAGUAUUUAUCUGAGCAUUUUUUUUUCAGAGAAUGUUUGCUUUAUUGUGAUUAAAAAUAAAAGGAGACUUUAAAAACC
rnacentral:misc_RNA from 1 species